UACAGAGGGGGCGAGCGUUGUUCGGAAUUACUGGGCGUAAAGGGCGCGUAGGCGGCCCGCUAAGUCGAACGUGAAAUCCCCAGGCUCAACCUGGGAACUGCGUCCGAUACUGGCAGGCUUGAAUCCGGGAGAGGGAUGUGGAAUUCCAGGUGUAGCGGUGAAAUGCGUAGAUAUCUGGAGGAAUACCGGUGGCGAAGGCGGCAUCCUGGACCGACAUUGACGCUGAUGAGCGAAAGCUAGGGGAGCAAACGGG
rnacentral:rRNA from 1 species